ACCUUUGUUGACAAAAUAAUGUCUCUAUUUUUUAAUAUGCUAUCUAGGUUUGUUGCAGUUUUUCUUCCAAGGAGCAAGCGUCUUUUAAUUUCAUGGCUGCAGUCACCAUCCACAGUGAAUUUAAAGUUUCUAUCUUUAUCUUUUGUCUGUCCCCACCCUCAGAAUAGGCCUUGAAACAUGCUCUGUGCUUUGCCUGAUCAACCUCCCUCUUGCUAAGCCACCACUCUGUUUACCUAAAUAUACCUUUGUGGUGGGCUUUCAGUGAAUUUAUCAAGUCAGGAAUAUUUCCUUUGGCUUUAUUCCUAAUUUGCUGAGAGAUUUUUGAAAAAAGUCACAACUAAGUAUUAAAUCUUUAUUUAAAUCUUAAAUGUCAUAAAUAGGUGUUAAGUCAGUGUUCUCUCUGCACAACCUGAGAGAAUUAUAUGCUUUCUGUCCUGUAAUCUAAUCUUAUGGGAUUUGCAUUAAUCUGUUUCUGAUAUUGGACCUUCCUCAAAAUCCCCAGAGACCUUAGAUCUCUCAGGGUCCCAGAGGAAAGAGGUUUGUAUUUAGAUUAAGUACACUGCAGGAGAGCAUAGUUGAGGGACAGUCUAUAAAGGUGUGGCAGGGUGGGGACUCCCAAGGGCAAAUGCUCCUACAGGUCGGCCAGGCCAGCGUGGUGGGGAGAGAGGAUUCUGGAACCCGAGAGGAAAGUGUCGUCAAGAGAGGGACACCUGGAGAGGAGCCCGGAGCCUCCUGAAGUGCUGUCUUAGCCUGUGAUCUGGUUGAGACAUGGGUGCUACCCAGGACUGGACCACCCAGGGCUCCCACCAGAACCCGGGACCCACAUGUGCUGGGUGCCCGAGGUGCUGGGCUGCCUUGCCACAUUGCUAAGACCCUCCGGGGGAGCCCAAACACUGCUCCACAUGCAGGGAAGAUGGAGCCCCCAUCCAGCCCUCCAAGAAGCCCCCUCCUUUCCUGGACUCAGCUCACCCCUCCCUGAAGGACCUUCGAUUAAGCACAAACCAGAAAAGAAGAUUCCAGAAACCAAAUUAUGAUGUAAUGGGACAUUUUUCACAUUUGGUUCUUCAUACACCCUUCAAAGAACAGGACGGGAGCUUGCCCAGCCCUGCCCAAUUGCAAGGUCCUGAUCCCCUCCCAGGAAGGAGCCACCUCGGUGGGCUCUCUGGUUUUGCAUGGACAUGAUGACCUCACAGCUCACCCUCCAAGCCAGGACACUUUUGAGAGAGAAACAGAGCACCCCAGUGAUGACUCAGGACACAGGGAUGACCUGGGAUCUCUGGUCGCCCUCUGCAGAGUAACCGGGUUCUGCUCUGGGCUAGUGGUAAAGAACCCGCCUGCCAAUGCAGGAGACUCAAGUGACUGGGGUUCGAGUCCUGGGUCGGGAAGAUCCCCUGGAGGAGGAGAUGGCAACUCACCCCGGUGUUCUUGCCUGGAGAAUCCAUGGACAGAUGUGCCUGGCAGGCUACUGUCCAUGGGGUUGCAAAGAGUCGGACACAACUGAAGCGACUUAGCACAGCUCUGGGCUGACUGGCCACGGGCGGAGUGUCCCGAAGCUUCCAUGGCAGUGAUCGGGUAUCUGGCUCAAGGUCUGCCAUGCAGGCAGGGCUGGGCAGGGAGGGUCACUCCACGUCAGUCCAUGUGGCUUCGGCCUGGGCUGCUCGGCAGGUGGCUAUAGGAUCUGCUUCCGGUGGUUCACUCGCUGGUGAGCCAGGGCCUCUCUUCUGCCUUCCACUCGGGCUUCCGGGCAGCAGGGUGGCUGGACCAGGAGUGGGUGAGCCUGGGGGUUGCGGGGAGGGGCUUCCAGUCCUGGAGCAUCACUUCUGCCAUCACCAGGCCUGCCCAGGUCAGGGGAAGGCACAGAUACUCUCCCUCCGGACAAGGUGCUGGGAGGACGGGGCGGGGAGGGGGGCGCUCUGUGCAGCCACUUUUGGAAGACACAGUCACCCAGGAUGGUGGGGGCUGGCCCAGCGCCUCACAGAAGUCACUGGGUCCCUGCGGGGCGGCUCCUCUCUGCUGUGUCCACAAGAGCUGGGAAGACCUUCCUCCCUAAAGAUGGGCUUGAGGCUGCCUCCUGUGAGGCCGUUCCUUGAGGAACCAUUCGGGGGUUUCUGCAGGGUGUCCACUGGGGCCCUCUCCCCGCUUUGGGUGCUGGCCCUGUGUGGUCGUGGUUCCCUUCGGUCUCAGCCUGCUGGGCCUGCCACAGAUACCCGAGACCGGGGUGUAAACAGCAGAAGCGAACUUCUCACAGUCCCAGAGGCUGGAAGCCCAAGGUCAAAGUGCCGGCAAGGGGAGUUUCUCCUCCACCCGUCCCUCCACGUCCUCACAUGGCCUCCCCUCCGAGCACGCGCCCCUGUUGUCCUCCCCUUCCUGUGAGGUCCCUGUCCUGUUGGGUUAGGGCCCAACCCCAUGACUGCAUUUAACCUUGAUAACCUCCUGAAGACCUCGUCUCCAGGUCAGGUCCCCAUGGGGUGAGGGCUCCCACGUGUGGAUUCUGGGGACGCAGUUCCAUCUAGGAUGCCCACUUCUUCCCUCACCUCAGUCCCUCUGCUGGCUCCUAAGCUUCCGAGGGCCCAGGGCAUGGACCCUGGUGGCUUCUCUUUUCUCUGUCCAUCUACACACCCUCCCUGGGUGGCCCCAUCCCGCCUGUCCGUGAAGACUGCCUGCUGCUGACUCCCCCCUCCUGGGUCCCUCUCCUGAGCUCAGCCAGGCCUCCAGCCUCCCAUCUGCUCUCCCCAUGCAAGUCAGAGGCCAGAAGAGAGCCUGCCACCCUCCUCUCCACCCAGUCCCCCACCCCUGCCGGCUUUCCCAUCCCAGUAAAUCACCCCAACACUCUGCUGCAGCCCCAGCCUCAGCCGUACUCUGAACUCUGCCCCUCUGUUGCCCCCCACACUCAGAGGGGCCUGUCCGCUCCCUGAAUCUCUCUUACAUCCAGACUCUUUCCUGCCGCCCCCUGCCCCCCACCCCACUCCGUGGUCCAGCAUGCUCCCUCUAGUUGGGCUCCUGCAGGUUCACCGUGAGGGUUUCUUUCUCUUACUCGAGAUUUUUGCUGAAACCGAGGUUUCAACAGUCUAUCACCUCUAGAAAAUCCCCAGCCUGUUACCUCUCCCUAGCGUGGGUGUGUGUGCCUUCAGGGGCAGAAAUCAUACGUUGCUGUCUGGCCUGUCUGAUGGAUCCUAGGGGACCUUCUCAGACCACCCUCUGGGUCACUGUUCCCUCUUCAUUUGCAUUAGAUUUGUUGUGAAGCCAAUCAACCAAGUUUCAGAUUUCAAUGGCUAUAUAUAUGCUGCUGCUAAGUCGCUUCAGUCGUGU